rnacentral:rRNA from 1 species
UACGAAGGGGGCUAGCGUUGUUCGGAAUUACUGGGUGUAAAGCGCGCGCAGGUGGUCUUUCAAGUCAGUGGUGAAAGCCCGGAGCUCAACUCCGGAAAUGCCAUUGAAACUGUGAGACUUGAGGACGAGAGAGGUGAGUGGAAUUCCCAGUGUAGAGGUGAAAUUCGUAGAUAUUGGGAAGAACACCGGUGGCGAAGGCGGCUCACUGGCUCGUAUCUGACGCUCAGGCGUGACAGCGUGGGGAUCAAACAGG